UUUCUAUGGAAGCUUGCUUCCACUGAGAAGAUAGUGGCGGAACGGGUCGGAGGUAACAACCGUGGGUAACCCGUGCCCAGUAAGAGGGGGAGUAACAUCCGGAAACGGGUGCUAAUACCGCAUAGUUUUCUUGAUCGCAUGAUUGAGAAAGGAAAGAUGGCCUUUGUGCUGUCGCUUAUGGAUGGACCCGCGGCGUAUUAGUUAGUUGGUGAGGUAACGGCUCACCAAGACGAUGAUACGUAGCCGACCUGAGAGGGUGAUCGGCCACAUUGGGACUGAGACACGGCCCAAACUCCUACGGGAGGCAGCAGUAGGGAAUCUUCCGCAAUGGACGAAAGUCUGACGGAGCAACGCCGCGUGAGUGAAGAAAAGGUUUUCGGAUCGUAAAACUCUGUUGUCAGAGAAGAACAAGUUGGAGAGUAACUGCUCCAGCCUUGACGGUAUCUGACCAGAAAGCCACGGCUAACUACGUGCCAGCAGCCGC
rnacentral:rRNA from 1 species